rnacentral:rRNA from 1 species
UACGCAGGGUGCGAGCGUUGUCCGGAAUUAUUGGGCGUAAAGAGCUCGUAGGCGGUCUGUCGCGUCGGUCGUGAAAACUUGGGGCUUAACCCUGAGCUUGCGGUCGAUACGGGCAUGACUGGAGUUCGGCAGGGGAGACUGGAAUUCCUGGUGUAGCGGUGAAAUGCGCAGAUAUCAGGAGGAACACCGGUGGCGAAGGCGGGUCUCUGGGCCGAUACUGACGCUGAGGAGCGAAAGCGUGGGGAGCGAACAGG